UACGAAGGGUGCAAGCGUUACUCGGAAUUACUGGGCGUAAAGCGUGCGUAGGUGGUUUGUUAAGUCUGAUGUGAAAGCCCUGGGCUCAACCUGGGAAUUGCAUUGGAUACUGGCAGGCUAGAGUGCGGUAGAGGAUGGCGGAAUUCCCGGUGUAGCAGUGAAAUGCGUAGAUAUCGGAAGGAACACCAGUGGCGAAAGCGGCUCCCUGGUCCAGCACCGACGUUCAGGCACGAAAGCGUGGGGAGCAAACAGG
rnacentral:rRNA from 1 species